ACGAACGCUGGCGGCGCGCCUUAUGCAUGCAAGUCGAACGAGAACUAGAUCAUUCGUAAGAUUGAUCUAGGGACAGUGGCGAACGGGUGCGUAACACGUGAGAAACCUGCCCUGGAGAUCGGGAUAGCCCGAGGAAACUCGGAUUAAUACCGAAUAUGCUCACAGGACCGCAUGGUCUAGUGAGGAAACAGUCCGCUGCUCCAGGAUGGUCUCGCGGCCUAUCAGCUUGUUGGUGAGGUAACGGCUCACCAAGGCUCUGACGGGUAGCUGGUCUGAGAGGACGAUCAGCCACACUGGGACUGAGACACGGCCCAGACUCCUACGGGAGGCAGCAGCAGGGAAUAUUGCACAAUGGGCGAAAGCCUGAUGCAGCGACGCCGCGUGCGGGAUGAAGGCCUUCGGGUUGUAAACCGCUUUCAGGAGGGACGAAAAUGACGGUACCUCCAGAAGAAGGCCCGGCCAACUACGUG
rnacentral:rRNA from 1 species